rnacentral:snRNA from 1 species
GUGCUCACUUCGGCAGCACAUAUACUAAAAAAUUAGAAUGAUACAGAGAAGAUUAGCAUGGCCCCUGCGCAAGGAUGAUACACAAAUUCGUGAAGCAUUCCAUAUUUUU